GGUCACUGCUAUUGGGGUUCGGCUAAGCCAUGCGAGCGGAGGGCGCGGUCGCAAGAUCGUGGCCCCGCACACGGCUCAGUAACACGUAGUCAACCUACCCUUGGGACGGGGACAGCGCCGGGAAACUGGCGAUAAUCCCCGAUAGGUGAGGGACGCUGGGAUGCUUCUUCGCUCAAAGCUCCGGCGCCCGAGGAUGGGACUGCGGCCUAUCAGGCUGUUGGUGGUGUGACGGACCACCAAACCUACGACGGGUACGGGCGAUGGGAGUCGGAGCCUGGAGAUGGGGACUGAGACAAGGCCCCAGGCCCUACGGGGCGCAGCAGGCGCGAAAACUCCGCAAUGCGCGCAAGCGUGACGGGGGAACCCCAAGUGCCGUUGGUCUUUUGAUCGACGGCUUUUCGGAAGUCCAAUAAGCUUCCGGAAUAAGGGCUGGGUAAGACUGGUGCCAGCCGCCGCGGUAACACCAGCAGCCCAAGUGGUGGCCGCGAUUAUUGGGCCUAAAGCGCUCGUAGCCGGAUCAGCAAGUCCUUUGUGAAAUCGGGCCGCCCAACGGUUCGGCGUGCAAAGGAUACUGUUGGUCUUGAGACCGGGAGAGGUCGGAGGUACUCUUGGGGUAGCGGUGAAAUGCUGUAAUCCUGGGGGGACCACCAGUGGCGAAGGCGUCCGACCAGAACGGAUCUGACGGUGAGGGGCGAAGGCUAGGGGAGCGAACGGGAUUAGAUACCCCGGUAGUCCUAGCUGUAAAGCAUGCGGGCCAGGUGUCUAGCGCUCCUUGAGGGCGCUAUGUGCCGGAGGGAAGCCGUUAAGCCCGCCGCCUGGGAAGUACGGCCGCAAGGCUGAAACUUAAAGAAAUUGGCGGGGAGCACCACAAGGGUGGAACCUGCGGUUC
rnacentral:rRNA from 1 species